UAACACAUGCAAGUCGAACGAUGAACCACUUCNGUGGGGAUAAGUGGCGAACGGGUGAGUAUCACGUGGGCGAUCUGCCCUUCACUCUGGGACAAGCCCUGGAAACGGGGUCUAAUACCGGAUACAACACUCUCGGGCAUCCGAUGAGUGUGGAAAGCUCCGGCGGUGAAGGAUGANCCCGCGGCCUAUCAGCUUGUUGGUGAGGUUACGGCUCACCAAGGCGACCACNGGUUGCCCGCCUGAGAAGGCGACCGGCCACACUGGGACUGAGACACGGGCCAGACUCCUACGGGAGGCAGCAGUGGGGAAUAUUGCACAAUGGGCGAAAGCCUGAUGCACC
rnacentral:rRNA from 1 species